AUUGAACGCUGGCGGCAGGCCUAACACAUGCAAGUCGAACGCGUGGCGCACGGGUGAGUAAUGUCUGGGAACCUGCCCGAUGGAGGGGGAUAACUCCUGGAACCGGUAGUUAUUACCGCAUACCAGCCGCUUGUCCCAGAUGGGAUUGGCUAGUAGGUGGGGUAAUGGCUCACCUAGGCGACGAUCCCUAGCUGGUCUGAGAGGAUGACCAGCCACACUGGAACUGAGACACGGUCCAGACUCCUACGGGAGGCAGCAGUGGGGAAUAUUGCACAAUGGGCGCAAGCCUGAUGCAGCCAUGCCGCGUGUAUGAAGAAGGCCUUCGGGUUGUAAAGUACUUUCAGCGAGGAGGCGUUACUCGCAGAAGAAGCACCGGCUAACUCCGUGCCAGCAGCCGCGGUAAUAC
rnacentral:rRNA from 1 species